rnacentral:rRNA from 1 species
GACGAACGCUGGCGGCGUGCUUAACACAUGCCAGUCGAACGGAAAGGCCCUGCUUUUGUGGGGUGCUCGAGUAGCGAACGGGUGAGUAACACGUGAGUAACCUGCCCUUGACUUUGGGAUAACUUCAGGAAACUGGGGCUAAUACCGGAUAGGAGCUCCUGCUGCAUGGUGGGGGUUGGAAAGUUUCGGCGGUUGGGGAUGGACUCGCGGCUUAUCAGCUUGUUGGUGGGGUAGUGGCUUACCAAGGCUUUGACGGGUAGCCGGCCUGAGAGGGUGACCGGCCACAUUGGGACUGAGAUACGGCCCAGACUCCUACGGGAGGCAGCAGUGGGGAAUAUUGCACAAUGGGCGGAAGCCUGAUGCAGCAACGCCGCGUGCGGGAUGACGGCCUUCGGGUUGUAAACCGCUUUCGCCUGUGACGAAGCGUGAGUGACGGUAAUGGGUAAAGAAGCACCGGCUAACUACGUG